rnacentral:rRNA from 1 species
CGCGAAUGGCUCAUUACAACAGCUAUAAUUUACUUGAUCUUGACACAAUCCUACUUGGAUAACUGUGGUAAUUCUAGAGCUAAUACAUGCAUUAAAGCUCUGACCUCGCGGGAAGAGUGCAUUUAUUAGAACAAAACCAAGCGGCCUCGGCUGUUUUCGGUUGACUCAUAGUAACUGAGCUGAUCGCAUGGUCUUGCACCGGCGACGUGUCUUUCAAGUAUCUGCCGUAUCAACUUUCGAUGGUAGUGUAUCUGACUACCAUGGUGAUCACGCGUAACGGAGAAUAAGGGUUCGACUCCGGAGAGUUCGCCUGAGAAAUCGCGAACACAUCUAAGGAAGGCAGCAGGCGCGAAAAUUACCCACUCUCAGCACGAGGAGGUAGUGACGAAAAAUAACGAGACCGUUCUCUUAUGAGGCCGGUCAUCGGAAUGGGUACAAUUUAAACCCUUUAACGAGUAUCUAUGAGAGGGCAAGUCUGGUGCCAGCAGCCGCGGUAAUUCCAGCU